UGAGUAAAGCGGCGGACGGGUGAAUAUCGCGUAGGGUAACCUGCCUUUCAGAGGGGGAUAACGUCCGAAAGGACCGCUAAUACCGCGUACGUAUCCAGGGGCUCCGGCCCUUGGGUGGGAAGCUAGCUAGGUCGCAAGACCUGGCUGGCGCUGAAAGAGGGGCCUGCGUCGCAUCAGCUAGUUGGUGGGGUAACGGCCUACCAAGGCGAAGACGCGUAGCUGGUCUGAGAGGAUGAUCAGCCACACUGGGACUGAGACACGGCCCAGACUCCUACGGGAGGCAGCAGUGGGGAAUAUUGGACAAUGGCGCAAGCCUGAUCCAGCCACGCCGCGUGAGUGAUGAAGGCCUUCGGGUCGUAAAGCUCUGUGGGGAGGGACGAACCGCCGGCGGUGCAUAGCCGACGGCAUGACGGUACCUCCUUAGCAAGCACCGGCUAACUUCGUGCCAGCAGCCGCGGUAA
rnacentral:rRNA from 1 species